UACGUAGGGUGCGAGCGUUAAUCGGAAUUACUGGGCGUAAAGCGUGCGCAGGCGGCUUUGCAAGACAGAGGUGAAAUCCCCGGGCUCAACCUGGGAACUGCCUUUGUGACUGCAAGGCUAGAGUACGGCAGAGGGAGAUGGAAUUCCGCGUGUAGCAGUGAAAUGCGUAGAUAUGCGGAGGAACACCGAUGGCGAAGGCAAUCUCCUGGGCCUGUACUGACGCUCAUGCACGAAAGCGUGGGGAGCAAACAGG
rnacentral:rRNA from 2 species